rnacentral:rRNA from 1 species
UACGAAGGGGGCUAGCGGUGUUCGGAAUUACUGGGCGUAAAGCGCACGUAGGCGGAUAUUUAAGUCAGGGGUGAAAUCCCAGAGCUCAACUCUGGAACUGCCUUUGAUACUGGGUAUCUCGAGUAUGGAAGAGGUGAGUGGAAUUCCGAGUGUAGAGGUGAAAUUCGUAGAUAUUCGGAGGAACACCAGUGGCGAAGGCGGCUCACUGGUCCAUUACUGACGCUGAGGUGCGAAAGCGUGGGGAGCAAACAGG